GCCACCCUAGCUCAGUUGGUAGAGCAGCUGAUUCGUAAUCAGCAGGUCACCGGUUCAAGUCCGGUGGGUGGCU
rnacentral:tRNA from 2 species